ACAGUGAACUCGACAGUUCCGGGUCGUCGACAAUUCCGGGUCACAUUCAGAAAAAUAUGUUUAUUAUUUGGAAAUGAUUUAGUUUUUCAUUAAUUUUAUAAUCAAGUCAUAUUGACUAAUAACUUAGCUACUUUCACGUUGAUUUCGGAUGUUGUCAUUUGAAGAAUGGAUGUCGCAAUCACGAAACGCUUGACUGCAUCAUUUCCCACGAAAGUGAAAGCAGAUAUUAUUUGUUUACAUGCCACCGCAAAAACUGUUAUUUGUAUCAAUAAUUUAAGUAAUACAGGAAUAUGGCUCCGAAGAGAAAACGGAACAUACCUGUUGUUCACAUUGCAGACCCUGUUGGAGAAGAUGAACCAUUCCAGUGUCCUGAUUGUACACUGAAGAUGUUAAUAUUUGUUUGAAAACAUAUUUCUUAACCCAUUAACGAUUCGGUUGAACACAAUCAACAGACAAGAUGUUCAGAGAGUGUUUGUAUCAGUAAUGAUGAUGAUAGACAAGAUAUUUCAGUCAUUGAGAUACAGAAAUCAGUUAUCAAGGGGUACCAUGCUUACAAGAUUCGGCCACCAUAUACAGUACCUCCAAUGCGCUAAAGAGUUAAUUGUUGUAUCAUAGUUUGGGGACCUUUCUGUUGAAAAUGUGACAGAGUUAAAUCGUAUACAUAUACAUGCACAGUGCGUUAACUGGAGUGCAGGUAUUAGUUACCCUCACUCCAGAGCAUGCCCAUUGAUUGGUUCAUUUUGUCCGGGGUUUACAUAUUAUGACGACAGAGAAAGGGAUAGCGAUGGAAAUAUCCUAUUCAGAUGCUAGUUCAUUCAACAUUGGUUACUUUUUUGUGGGGUUUCAUAUUGUGUCGAUGCUCUUUCUAUUACAUAGAGAAUACACAAAUAUUAAAGACAUUAAUGCUUGUUUGGUGUGGGUACCACCAUUAGACCAGUUCAAUGAAAAUAUGCACUCAAUAGUAACAGAUGCCAAACAUUUUUUAAAAUUAUUUGAUAUUGCUGAUCUGCCUGUAGGGCAUGUUCUUAUGUCUUUGGCAGGGUUGUUUCGUUCUGUAUUUGAUGAAGGCGGUAAUAUAUUUGCCGAGGCCACAGGAGAACCAAUACCUAGUUUCCCACCAUGGCCUUCACAAAAUGAAGAAGGCAGAAGGCGGGGGAGUGGUUAUUCCUGCAACAUAUUUUAUAUUUACAAAACAAAACAUUAAUGAGGUUAUGUCUCGGUUAAGAGUAAUAAACACUUCAGUUAAAGAGUGCUACGAAAUGUUGGUGAUAUAUAAGUAGCAGCCUUUGUAUGUAGAAAGUGAUUUAAUAUUCAACAUAUUGUGACCCUAGAUAUUACUAAUUCCAUGUUAACUUACUGUGAUUUUUCAUUUUUCCACUCAUGGUUUAAUACAUGUCUUGCAGUCUAUUUUUUCUUUCCAUGUUUUUAUAUGCAAUAUUUUAUGUUUUUAUAUGCAAUAAGUAAUUGCAGGUGAUUUUUGUUCUUCUUUUGCCUGUGAUAUAUUCUACCUCUUUCAUUUACAUUUUAUUUUUAUAUUGAACAAAAAAUGCUCAAUAAAAGUGUUGUUAUUAUGACAUCUGUUUUGUUGAAUAUUACAUCGUUUGAGAUGCCCCCCCGAAGACAAAUAUAAACAUUUUAUCACGUGACCCGGAAAUGGCAAGUGCGACCCGAAACUGUCAAAUAUACAGCGGGCAGAUGAAUACUCUGAAAAAUAAGUUUACCAAAUUAUUAGAAUUGUUGAAUUAUAUCAUAGUAAGGAGGAAAUAUUUGUUGCACAAUUAAAGCAGUUUAGUUUCUCUCAACUUUCGUUUCAAAGAGUCGCGCUUCGGUAAUUUCGUUACU